rnacentral:rRNA from 1 species
UACGGGGGGAGCAAGCGUUGUUCGGAUUUACUGGGCGUAAAGGGCGCGUAGGCGGUCAGCACAAGUCAGUUGUGAAAUCUCCGGGCUUAACUCGGAAAGGUCAACUGAUACUGUGCGACUAGAGUGCAGAAGGGGCAACUGGAAUUCUCGGUGUAGCGGUGAAAUGCGUAGAUAUCGAGAGGAACACCUGCGGCGAAGGCGGGUUGCUGGGCUGACACUGACGCUGAGGCGCGAAAGCCAGGGGAGCGUACGGG